GCGUCUCAACACACCGGCCGGGCGUCCACUUACACGGGCAUGGUGGGAGGCCGCGGCGUCUCGGCGCAAGACAGGCAAUCACACACCGGCGACGAAGGAAGCGCGCCAGACGGUGUUUUGACCACGUCAGCAAGAGCAGCGCCGAGGAAGUCGGCAGCGCGCGCACACUCGCAGCUGUUCAAUCUUUCUUCGUUCCGCUGGCUGCCUUCGUAGCGUGCCCGGUAAGCCGACGACGCGCGUGCCACGGGUCCGGCUCGUCUCGCUCCAAACAAUGCCGCCCUUCAGGAAACUUUUCAUGAGCGCUGCCAUCUCUGCAUCACGUGACCCGUCCGCCAUUGUCUGCCUCUACUUUUCCGCUGUUGCACAUUGUAUAGCACUGCGUACACGGUGCUUCGCCAGCCAUUGCCGGGAUGCUAUAUACGAUGGAAUCGGACUGUGAAUAUGUCAACGACGCAAGAUCAUGGCCUAGAUUUUAGAGACCAUGAGCAGUGAAAGCAAAUGUUGAGUGCGCAAACAAAGCUGACGUGGAGACCGUCAUCAAAAUAUGGCUGCGCCACGCUGAAGAGAAACUGAAAAAGCUGCAGUCAAAGGCCGGAAAUGUUCGACAUAAUGAUCCCGCUGACUAUUCGGACUAGUGCUGGC